rnacentral:rRNA from 1 species
CACGGAUAACAUACCGAAAGGUAUGCUAAUACGGGAUAAUAUAUUUGAGAGGCAUCUCUUAAAUAUCAAAGGUGAGCCAGUACAGGAUGGACCCGCGUCUGAUUAGCUAGUUGGUAAGGUAACGGCUUACCAAGGCGACGAUCAGUAGCCGACCUGAGAGGGUGAUCGGCCACAUUGGAACUGAGACACGGUCCAAACUCCUACGGGAGGCAGCAGAGGGGAAUAUUGCACAAUGGGCGAAAGCCUGAUGCAGCAACGCCGCGUGAGUGAUGAAGGCCUUCGGGUCGUAAAACUCUGUCCUCAAGGAAGAUAAUGACGGUACUUGAGGAGGAAGCCCCGGCUAACUACGUGCCAGCAGCCGCGGUAAUACGUAGGGGGCUAGCGUUAUCCGGAUUUACUGGGCGUGAAGGGUGCGUAGGCGGUCUUUCAAGUCAGGAGUGAAAGGCUACGGCUCAACCGUAGUAAGCUCUUGAAACUGGGAGACUUGAGUGCAGGAGAGGAGAGUGGAAUUCCUAGUGUAGCGGUGAAAUGCGUAGAUAUUAGGAGGAACACCAGUUGCGAAGGCGGCUCUCUGGACUGUAACUGACGCUGAGGCACGAAAGCGUGGGGAGCAAACAGGAUUAGAUACCCUGGUAGUCCACGCUGUAAACGAUGAGUACUAGGUGUCGGGGGUUACCCCCCUCGGUGCCGCAGCUAACG